rnacentral:rRNA from 1 species
UGGGGAAUAUUGCACAAUGGAGGGAACUCUGAUGCAGCGACGCCGCGUGAGUGAUGAAGGAAUUCGUUUCGUAAAACUCUGUUCUAUGGGAAGAAAAGGACUGUACCAUAGGAGAAAGCUCCGGCUAAAUACGUGCCAGCAGCCGCGGUAAUACGUAUGGAGCGAGCGUUGUCCGGAAUUAUUGGGCGUAAAGGGUGCGCAGGCGGCUUUACAAGUUGGAUGUGAAAUAUUGUGGCUCAACCACAAACGUGCAUCCAAAACUGCAAAGCUUGGGUUAAGGAGAGGUAAGUGGACUUCCUGGUGUAGCGGUGGAAUGCGUAGAUAUCAGGAGGAAUACCGGUGGCGAAGGCGACUUACUGGACUUAAACUGACGCUCAGGCACGAAAGCGUGGGGAGCAAACAGG